CGUGCCAUGACACUUACGUGCAGUGACCCAACCACGCCCGCAUACACGCAGUAGCUCACCGACAUCAUCCUGCAUUCGUCUGUGGAAGGUGGUUGUGCCCUUUCCGUUUUUUUUUUGCUGUUAAAUCGAAGCUGCCACCCCUGACACUUAGCAUCUUAUAACCACCGGUGCAGCCGUCUCCCCUCGUGUUGACGCCGGGGCACCCUCGCGGGAGGUCGCGGUUUCUUUUCUGUGCUUUUUAUUUGUCUUGGCGCCGUGUGCGUGUGUGUGCGGCCCUCAUCUUUUCGUGGUGCCGCGGGGAUUUGAUUGGCGAGCGCACGUAGUGCAGUGGGUAUUGCCUGUGCCCGCUGCCUGCUUCGUUCUGUGGGAGGCACCCCUUGGACGAGCACCACCACCAUGUGAGGGACUCGCAGCCGCAAAGAAGCUCCUCUUUUUCUGUGGCGUGUAUUUGGGGGCGUAGAUUUGCUGUUGCAUGCUGCUGACAUGUGAGAAGCUGCCACCCACCCACCCCCACCCCACCCUUGCACCCUCUCGCCGACAGCACAAACGACCACUCAUCUUGCGCGCAGAUAACCAGGGUGGAGGAGGGCACGAGGCAUUAGCCGGCUCGAAAGCCGACACCUAAACAAAAACGAAAAGGGCGAGAACAUACGCAAGCGGCACGAUUUAACUGCUUCUCCCCUCAACGGCCGACUCCCUCGCUUGUCUUUCGAACCUGAAGAAUCGGCCCGCUGUUUCAACGCACUACGUCGUGCUGUCCCUGUCUCCUUGCCCCCCCCUUGCACUGCGGCUGAGAUCAUUCUUUUUCUUGCGUGUUAUAUCUCUCCGUUAAGGUUCUUCUUGCCCUUUCACAAGUACCGUUACCUCCUGGUAUGGGCGCUCGCUAAUCCCCUUUUUCUUUGAGGUUCGCACCAGACCCGCAGGUGCCACCCCCCCCCCCCGUGAGGGUCACAGGACACCUGCGCAUCAGCUCAUCUGCGUUGCCAGCCGUGCCGUGCUUCGCACGUGACUCUGUCUCUUUUUUUUUCUGCUUUCCCUUUGCCAUAGUUCACCUCUACCCCCGUAACGAUGGGGUUUUGCUUAUGCCAUCCGAAGUCGACGACUGCACUGCAUGCAGAGCAGCUGGAAAAGCUAGAGGCGGUGCCGACGGAGGCUCCCGCCUCUGCCUCUGCGCCCAAGAUACCGCUGCUGGUGGAGCCGCACGACACGAAAAGCACCUGUCCGCCUGCACCUCCCGACCCCUCUCCCGUACAUGAGAGAGAGUUAAAUGGGCGUUGCUCUAGCUUAUCGAGAAGCACUAUAAUUGAGGGCUGCGGCAACCCGGGAUGGGCUCCCGGGACGCGCGCGUUUGUUGGCAGGGACGACUCCGCGCACCGCGGUACCUCACCCAGGACGAGGACCCUGGCAACAGAUUCCAUCUUUGAUUCGAGCUUCCAACGUGGGUCGGACGUCGUGAGUCGCACGCUUAACUGCCCAUCAGCGGCGCACAGCAGCAACACGAGCCCCUUAUCUCUGCGGGAUACUCGUGCAGGCAAGCCGGGUUCUCUCAGUGUCACGGAUAUGCACACCAUCGCCAAUGGUGUGGCGAACCACACUCGUAGUAUCAGCGGCCCAGCUGAUGCGCUGCAGCUAAGUAGUAUCUUGCGACCCAGCAGCGGCUGGACCAACAGCAGAUCGCCGCUGACACAGAAUCGCCCUCCGAGCACCGAACACUGGAGCUCGUCGCAGAGUUCAGGGCCGCAGACGACGCUUGUGCCUAGCCGUGGCAGUGUCUGUUUCUUGGGCAGCGAUGGGAAGGCUGCCGAGCCGCAGGGGACGGGAUCGAACGAAGUGAGCCACCAAGGAGACCAGGAUAGGCUGAAGGAGACCUCAGACGGCGCAAGGACAUCGGCGGACACCCCCACUGCUCAGGGCAACCGCCAACGAGUACCACGCUCGCUGAUCGCAGGAAAUGGCGGGGCAGAUGGUGGAUCUCCAACGAAGAAAACGGACCCGAAAUUUUGCAGUCCGGCGCCCACAGCGGCGUCGGUGUCUCGCGAAACGCCCUCUCCGUGGCCGUCCGUCGAGGGUCCACCUUCGAAUCCGUCACAUCACAACGGCGUCUUCAAUGACCUGGCAUACUUCUGCUUCAGUGAGAACAGUGACCAAUCCGGUGUCUUCUAUGGCAACGGCGGAAGCGGGGAGAUGCCGCCGGCAGCUCCACUGCUCACUGCCACCUCCCGUGCCUCCCAGUCACCGAAGAGCAUUCUUCUGAGACCGAGUGCGAACACCAGCGGAGCCGGCGGCCUGUGGACACCUCAGUGCCCUGUUAGCCUGCCCUGGCAGGACUCGGUCUCAUCCGGGCUUCGUCGCGUCAGUCGUCGCCGGAAGAGCGAGCAAGACGGGCUCCUCUCGGAGCGACGACCCAGCUUUGAUGUGGGACUGCCACACCGUCCCAGCAGCUCUGGGCUGCAUCGAUCCGGCCGCGAUGAGGACAGCGGUAGAGACGACGCACACAUCAUUGCCAGUGUACGGCGAACCAUGAUGCGCCUACAGCGCUUCGAUGGGGCCGGUAGCGUAUGCAGCAACGGCCCUAGUCGGCCUGGAGGCCGAUUGAGCUCCGCUGACAUUAACGCACGUGCACUCCGCACGGCGGAGAGGAUAAGCGUUGCCAUGCUCUCUGUACCCAAGGCAGUGAAGACGAUAGUAGAGAGCAAGGGCUCCAUGUCAUGCUCUGCGACCUCCGACAGCGGUUCUGCAGAAACUACGAGCGGCGCACGGGCGCCUGCGCCCGAUCCGAAGAAACCGACUCUUAGCCAAUAGCUUCUUCUAAAGGAAGGCGUUGUGCUAGCGGCGCUGCACGAUCUGAUUGCUUUAUCGUCGCAUUUCCUUUUCUUUUCUCCAUGAUUCAUUCUGCGUGCGUGCCUCGCAACG
rnacentral:misc_RNA from 1 species